AUACGAAGGGGGCUAGCGUUGUUCGGAAUUACUGGGCGUAAAGCGCACGUAGGCGGGUUUGUAAGUAGAGGGUGAAAUCCCAGGGCUCAACCCUGGAACUGCCUUCUAAACUGCAAGCCUGGAAGUCAGGAGAGGCGAGUGGAAUACCGAGUGUAGAGGUGAAAUUCGUAGAUAUUCGGUGGAACACCAGUGGCGAAGGCGACUCGCUGGACUGAUACUGACGCUGAGGUGCGAAAGCGUGGGGAGC
rnacentral:rRNA from 1 species